AUUGAACGCUGGCGGCAGGCCUAACACAUGCAAGUCGAACGAGUGGCGGACGGGUGAGUAAUGUCUGGGAAACUGCCCGAUGGAGGGGGAUAACUACUGGAAACGGUAGCUAAUACCGCAUACCAUCGGAUGUGCCCAGAUGGGAUUAGCUAGUAGGUGGGGUAACGGCUCACCUAGGCGACGAUCCCUAGCUGGUCUGAGAGGAUGACCAGCCACACUGGAACUGAGAACCGGUCCCAACUCCUUAGGGAGGGAGGAGGGGGGAAUAUUGCACAAUGGGCGCAAUCCCUAUGCAGCCAUGCCGGGUGUAUUAAGAAGGCCGUCGGGUUGUUAAGUACUUUCAGCGAGGAGGCGUUACUCGCAGAAGAAGCACCGGCUAACUCCGUGCCAGCAGCCGCGGUAAUAC
rnacentral:rRNA from 1 species